rnacentral:tRNA from 1 species
GGGGAUGUAACUUAGUUGGUAGAGUGCUUGCCUCGAAAGCAUAAGGCCCUGGGUUCAAUCCCUACCAACCCCC